rnacentral:tRNA from 1 species
UCCCUGGUGGUCCAGUGGUUAAGACCCCAUGCUUCCAAAGCAGGGGGGCACAGGUUCAAACCCUGGUCAGGGAA